rnacentral:tRNA from 1 species
GGUUCCAUGGUCUAGUGGUCAGGAUAAUAGACUCUGAAUCCAGUAACCCAUGUUCGAAUCUCAGUGGAACCU